GGUUAAGCGACUAAGCGUACACGGUGGAUGCCCUGGCAGUCAGAGGCGAUGAAGGACGUGCUAAUCUGCGAUAAGCGUCGGUGAGGUGAUAUGAACCGUUAUAACCGGCGAUUUCCGAAUGGGGAAACCCAGUGUGUUUCGACACACUAUCAUUAACUGAAUCCAUAGGUUAAUGAGGCGAACCGGGGGAACUG
rnacentral:rRNA from 1 species